rnacentral:rRNA from 1 species
UUGACGAGGAACCACGGUUCCGAAGUGAUUGAUACCAAGCUUCCAGGAAAAGCCACUAAGCUUCAGUCUAGAGUUGACCGUACCGCAAACCGACACAGGUGGGCAGGAUGAAAAUUCUAAGGCGCUUGAGAGAACUCAGGAGAAGGAACUCGGCAAAUUAACACCGUAACUUCGGGAGAAGGUGUGCCCCGGUAGCGUGUAGAGACUUGCUCUCGAGGCGCGAUGGGGUUGCAGUGAAAUGGUGGCUGCGACUGUUUAAUAAAAACACAGCACUCUGCAAACACGAAAGUGGACGUAUAGGGUGUGACGCCUGCCCGGUGCCGGAAGGUUAAGUGAUGGGGUGCAAGCUCUUGAUCGAAGCCCCGGUAAACGGCGGCCGUAACAAUAACGGUCCUAAGGUAGCGAAAUUCCUUGUCGGGUAAGUUCCGACCUGCACGAAUGGCGUAACGAUGGCCACACUGUCUCCUCCUGGGACUCAGCGAAGUUGAAAUGUUUGUGAAGAUGCAAUCUACCCGCGGCUAGACGGAAAGACCCCAUGAACCUUUACUGUAGCUUUGCAUUGGACUUUGAACCGGUUUGUGUAGGAUAGGUGGGAGACUGUGAAGCCGGGACGCUAGUUUCGGUGGAGUCAACCUUGAAAUACCACCCUGAUUUGUUUGAGGUUCUAACCUUGGUCCGUGAAUCCGGAUCGGGGACCGUGCAUGGUAGGCAGUUUGACUGGGGCGGUCUCCUCCCAAAAGGUAACGGAGGAGUACGAAGGUACGCUUAGGGCGGUCGGACAUCGCCCACAAAGUGCAAUGGCAAAAGCGUGCUUGACUGCGAGACCCACAAGUCGAGCAGGUACGAAAGUAGGUCAUAGUGAUCCGGUGGUUCUGUAUGGAAGGGCCAUCGCUCAACGGAUAAAAGGUAUUCUGGGGAUAACAGGCUAAUUCCUCCCAAGAGUUCAUAUCGACGGGGGAGUUUGGCACCUCGAUGUCGGCUCAUCACAUCCUGGGGCUGUAGUCGGUCCCAAGGGUAUGGCUGUUCGCCAUUUAAAGUGGUACGCGAGCUGGGUUUAAAACGUCGUGAGACAGUUUGGUCCCUAUCUGCCGUGGGCGCUGGAAAUUUGAAGGGGGCUGCUCCUAGUACGAGAGGACCGGAGUGGACGAACCUCUGGUGUACCGGUUAUGACGCCAGUCGUAUCGCCUGGUAGCUAAGUUCGGAAGAGAUAAACGCUGAAAGCAUCUAAGCGUGAAACUCGCCUUAAGAUAAGAUUUCCCGGAGUCUUGAACUCCCUGAAGGGUCGUCGAAGACCACGACGUUGAUAGGUCAGGUGUGGAAGCGCAGCAAUGCGUUAAGCUAACUGAUACUAAUUGCCCGUGCGGCUUGGUAA